AGCGACAUAUUACACAAGGCAACAAAAAUCGAAAAAAUGUGUUGCGGCAAAUGCUAAAGCUGUUUCCUGAUUAACUUUUCUGUGCUGAUAACGAAUCCAAACUCUAGCUAAGAACCAAAAGGCGAAGCUAGAAGUCUCGACUACUAUCCCUGAAAAUAUCAUCUGUCCACCUUGACUUGAUGGUUACUUAUAGUCAUUUGUUGAACAGCAAAACCUGAGUUUGUGCGAAGUUUAAGCAAAAAAAAACAAAACUGACUUCAAUUCCCUUGAAGUACAUCCUUUCCGAUGAAAAGAAAAAUUAUCAAAAUCGGUUAACGUGAUCCAAAGUUAUGUAUCCGGUAACAUACAUAAAAAAUAUUCUGACAAACUGAUAACCUUCUCCUUUUUGUGAAUUCGGUUAAAAAGGUAA